rnacentral:rRNA from 1 species
GACAGAGGUUGCAAACGUUGUUCGGAAUUACUGGGCAUAAGAGCACGUAGGCGGUCCGCUAAGUCAGACGUGAAAUCCCCCGGCUCAACCGGGGAAUUGCGCCUGAUACUGGUGGGCUCGAGGUUGGUAGGGGUGAGCGGAACUCCAGGUGGAGCGGUGAAAUGCGUAGAUAUCUGGAGGAACACCGGUGGCGAAAGCGGCUCACUGGACCGAUUCUGACGCUGAGGUGCGAAAGCUAGGGUAGCAAACGGG